CCUACGGGGGGCUGCAGUGGGGAAUAUUGGACAAUGGGGGCAACCCUGAUCCAGCCAUGCCGCGUGUGUGAAGAAGGCCCUCGGGUUGUAAAGCACUUUCAGUGAGGAAGAACGCCUGGUGGUUAAUACCCAUCAGGAAAGACAUCACUCACAGAAGAAGCACCGGCUAACUCCGUGCCAGCAGCCGCGGUAAUACGGAGGGUGCGAGCGUUAAUCGGAAUUACUGGGCGUAAAGCGCGCGUAGGUGGCUUGAUAAGCCGGUUGUGAAAGCCCCGGGCUCAACCUGGGAACGGCAUCCGGAACUGUCAAGCUAGAGUGCAGGAGAGGAAGGUAGAAUUCCCGGUGUAGCGAUGAAAUGCGUAGAGAUCGGGAGGAAUACCAGUGGCGAAGGCGGCCUUCUGGACUGACACUGACACUGAGGUGCGAAAGCGUGGGUAGCAAACAGGAUUAGAUACCCCAGUAGUC
rnacentral:rRNA from 1 species